rnacentral:lncRNA from 1 species
UUACAGAUAAAAUAUGAAACUUUACCAAAGAGUCAAUCAUCGCUCCACCAUAAAAAAUGAAUCGAUACGUAAUGUGACGAUACCACUCCAUGUAGUCAUCAUAAUAGUCCAUCAUACCAUCGACCGCUAGACCGUCUACAAUAUAAUCUUACCGACUCUGUCAGAUUGCAAUCCACUGCUGAUGAAUUCUUCUCCAGUCA